rnacentral:tRNA from 1 species
GCCAUGGCUCAGUCGGUAGAGCGUCACCUUGGUAAGGUGAAGGUCACGGGUUCGAUUCCCGUUGGU